rnacentral:rRNA from 1 species
UGCCUAAUACAUGCAAGUCGAACGAGCUUCCGUUGAAUGACGUGCUUGCACUGAUUUCAACAAUGAAGCGAGUGGCGAACUGGUGAGUAACACGUGGGGAAUCUGCCCAGAAGCAGGGGAUAACACUUGGAAACAGGUGCUAAUACCGUAUAACAACAAAAUCCGCAUGGAUUUUGUUUGAAAGGUGGCUUCGGCUAUCACUUCUGGAUGAUCCCGCGGCGUAUUAGUUAGUUGGUGAGGUAAAGGCCCACCAAGACGAUGAUACGUAGCCGACCUGAGAGGGUAAUCGGCCACAUUGGGACUGAGACACGGCCCAAACUCCUACGGGAGGCAGCAGUAGGGAAUCUUCCACAAUGGACGAAAGUCUGAUGGAGCAAUGCCGCGUGAGUGAAGAAGGGUUUCGGCUCGUAAAACUCUGUUGUUAAAGAAGAACACCUUUGAGAGUAACUGUUCAAGGGUUGACGGUAUUUAACCAGAAAGCCACGGCUAACUACGUGCCAGCAGCCGCGGUAAUACGUAGGUGGCAAGCGUUGUCCGGAUUUAUUGGGCGUAAAGCGAGCGCAGGCGGUUUUUUAAGUCUGAUGUGAAAGCCUUCGGCUUAACCGGAGAAGUGCAUCGGAAACUGGGAGACUUGAGUGCAGAAGAGGACAGUGGAACUCCAUGUGUAGCGGUGG